UACGGAGGGUGCAAGCGUCAUCCGGAAUUACUGGGCGUAAAGGGCGCGUAGGCGGAUUUGCAAGUUAGGGGUGAAAUCCCGGGGCUCAACCUGGGAACUGCAUUUGAAACUGGCAGGCUUGAGUCUUGUAGAGGGGGGUAGAAUUCCAGGUGUAGCGGUGAAAUGCGUAGAGAUCUGGAGGAAUACCGGUGGCGAAGGCGGCCCCCUGGACAAAGACUGACGCUCAGGUGCGAAAGCGUGGGAGCAAACAGG
rnacentral:rRNA from 1 species